CAGCCGCCGCGGUAAUACCGGCGGCCCGAGUGGCGGUCACUAUUAUUGGGCUUAAAGCGUCCGUAGCCGGGGUGGGAAGUCCUCCGGGAAAUCUGGCCGCUUAACGGUCAGAAUGCCGGAGGAUACUCCCAGCCUAGGGAGCGGGAGAGGCCGAGGGUAUUCCCGGGGUAGGGGGGAAAUCCUAUAAUCCCGGGAGGACCACCUGUGGCGAAGGCGCUCGGCUGGAACGCGUCCGACGGUGAGGGACGAAGGCCAGGGGAGCAAACCGGAUUAGAUACCCGGGUAGUCCUGGCUGUAAAGGAUGCGGGCUAGGUGUCGGGUGAGCUUCGAGCUCGCCCGGUGCCGUAGGGAAGCCGUUAAGCCCGCCGCCUGGGGAGUACGGCCGCAAGGCUGAAACUUAAAGGAAUUGGCGGG
rnacentral:rRNA from 1 species